ACUCUUAAUCGUAAUUUUGCAUAUCCUGCAUUCUAUGGUACGUUUUGUAUUUGCUCUGUUUUGGUUUUUUUUAUAAUAUCAAAAGGAGAGAAGAUGAUCACAUCAGUCAAUAAGACAAGGGAGCUAGUCGACUACCACAACAAGAAAGUCAACCAUAGCCAACAAGGCAGGAAGACAGGGGGAACCAGCCGGCUAUCUUAAUAGGAAAGCUAACUGAUGUUUACUGUUUGUCAUUAUCAAAAAGAGGAGAUUGUUAGCCUCCUAAUUUUAUGUUUUACUAAUGACAAACUAAUGAGGAAUCUUUGCAAGACAUUGAAAGAUCGUUAAUGAUGGAAGGAUGUCUCACACAAAGAUAUGAAAGAUCAGAGAAAAUUAAUGAAAGCAAGCAAGAAAGCCAGCUCCGGGAAUGGAAGGACGUCAAAUCAUGAUCUACGGCAUCCAAGCAAAUCAAUCAAAACAAAAACAAAAGGAAGGAAAAUUGCAGUCCCGGAAUCAUGCCAAAUCAGAUCAAUCACAACGAAGCAAAAGAAAGAAAAGAUCACAAACAACUUGAAAAAAGCAUCAAUCACUACAAGAGCAAAAGAAAGAAAAGAUCAUGAAUGUAUCUGAUACGGACGUGAGUGAAAGCCGUGUAUGGAUAUAUCCGAUAUGGACAUACCAUACGGUAACAUUCCUCAAUCAAGGAAUCAAUUUAAAUCCUUGAUUGAGAAGAAAUCUCUUGGGUUUCCUUAAGAAGAGCAGCAGCUGAAAACUAUAAAAGAAGAAGACUAACGAUAGACAAAAGUUACACAACUUCAAGAAGAAAUCUCAAAGUGUCUCAAUCUUAGUCUCACAAAGCUUAGUAAUUUGUAGCUUACAAUUGUUAUAUAAAGAGUAGGAUCGAGUAAACUUUGUAAUACAAACUGAAGUUAUGUCACAAGAUCUGAAGAACAAAAUAAGCCUUCGGAACUUGUUUCUCAUCAUUGUACUCGAGCCAACACUGAAAGAUCUAAGGAAACGUUGAAACCCAAGGGGACUGGAAGUAGGCACCACAAUGGUGUUCCGAACAAGGAUAUCUUUGUGUUCUUUACUUUAAAUUCAGUUAUUUAUUUACGUGUUUGUCUUAAGUCUAACCUGUUUUGUGAAGUAUACUGAUCUGCAGGCAAGUCGACUGUGAGAAGUCAAUAGUCGACUCACAGAAAUUUUCAAUUCACCCCCCCCCCUCUUGAAUUUCCCAGGGUUCACAAGACUUUUGUGGAGCUCUUGUGCGAAGUCAUUGGAAUUCUUUCAGAACCAUGGUCAACAUAUUUUUGUGGCUGCAGUUAUGGUAUGGGGGAAGCAUCACAUUUUGAUAUUAGUUGGUACAAAGUACAACUUGCAGAUGUGUUGGUUUGUUUUGGUGUUAAAAUGGGAUGGCAGCAUGGGCAAAGGAAUACAACACUGGGAAGUCUUGGUGAGAUGAAGAACAAAAGCCUCUCUAGAUUUACGAGGAAGAAA
rnacentral:lncRNA from 1 species